rnacentral:lncRNA from 1 species
CUCAAACAACAAAUAUAAACAUUGGUGUUUUCUUAACUUCAAUGUGCUCAUUCGUCUAUAAUAAGCAUAACUCCAGCAUUCAAGAUAACUAUGAUAUAUUUAUAACACAUACACUAUUAACAUUAGAAAUUUUGCCACCUUGGCAAUGGAAAAGCGCAAAUCCCGUCCAUCUGUCCGUCCGUUUGAGAGACACCAGAGAUGACCCCUUACAUACUUUCGUCACAAAUCAGGAUACAAGUAGUCCACAGAAAGAAAUUGACUCAACGUAGGUCGCUUUAGGAUACUUGAUACAAUGUAGCGUUACGGAAAGUUCUUUUUAGACACU